AAAAAAAAAAAAAAAAAAAAAAAAAAAAAAAAAAAACAAAUGCCAAGAAGGAUAUAUGCUUUGCAUCCAGCAAAUUUCAGUCUGGAUGAAAUACAUGCAUGGGAAAUGAAUAUUUCACAGAAUGUUGUGUAAGCAGAGCUAGAAGAAAAUUGACAUUAAUUCCAUGGCUGUAAGCGGGGGCAGGAGGAAAAGGGAGAAGGCAAGAACAGGAUGGGAAAGAAAGGAGUCAGAGAGGUGGGAGUGGAGCUGGGGCUGUGGGGAGCACCCUGGUACCUGACUGGCACAGUCAAGCAGAUUCUCUCCCCCAGGCUCCCUGCCACCAUGUGAGAACAAUAAAGGUUUCUUGGAUGGCAGGCAUCACCCCAGAAAAUCUGCCUCCAAAGAUUGUGGUGCUGCCAGCACUGUACUCAUCUUCCUUUCUUGCAGGAGAUGAAAACAGGGCAGAAGAAGAUGCAAAAAUAAAAUAUUGUGUGUGGCUUUCUCAGCAAUCACCUGAACAAAUGUGAUUGCUCAAACUGAUCCUCAGCUCAGUCAUUGCAUGUGUUCUGUUCUCUCGCCUCACUUAAGGGAUUCACGUCAAAUAAAUCCAUUUCUUCAGUUGUAUUUACUGUUUCCUGGCAACCACCCACCUUGGAAAAAUAAACCCUGUGCAAUGAGAAAGAAUGCAAGACUAUCUCCUUACCCCCUCUACCCACCUCUGGCAAGGCUUUCUAAUCUUAAUUCCACACACAGUCAGACAGUCUGCAUCUAAGUUACUUUCCUGAGACAAUGGUUAUGCAAGUUAGGGGCAUGUCAAGUCAGUUUGUUAUUUAAACUCUACAAAGCUUAAUCAUAUGAAUAAUUCUGAUUGAUAAAAUUAAAUAUGUGAAGUUUUCCUUUUACUUUCUCAGCGUGUUCAUGCAGAUGGUCUUUUUCAGAAAGGAAAAUGAAAUUAAUUUUCAAAAGAUAACUUCAUACAAAUAGCUUUCUCAUAUAACAUGAGAAAAUAUGGCAGAAAAUUAAUUGAAGCAUAAAAUUAGUGAUGACAUAAUAUUAAACAAUAAACAGAUUUUGUGAGUUACUUAAAUUCACAUAAUGGGGAUUUUUUAUAUAUACCAACAAUGUGCAUUGGGAAGGCAUUUGCAGACAUUCACCCCGGAAGCCAUCCCCCAGAGUUCAUAGGGAGUUCACUUGCAAGGGGAAACCAAGUUUUUCACUGCAGUUUGUGUAUGAUUGUGCUCAGGUGUGUAAAAGGGCAGGUUUCUCAAUCUGCUCUUUCUUUUCCUUUUGUUGUAGUCAAAUGUUGUGUAUUUCUCCUCCUUUAUUAUACAGCUAACUUGUUCUUGGGGGUAGCUAACAAGGACAUUUGAAGAACACUUCAAGAAGUAGAAUAGAAGAAAGAUAAAGGGAGGAAUCCUACAGACGAAGAUGAGAUUUCCUAUUGAUUAGAGAAAUACAUGAUUGGAGUAAGAGGCAGCCGCCAGAUGAAGAAUGCACAAAAUGUCUGGCACUGCUUGAAGUUGUUUUUAUUGGGUUUUUUUUUCCUUGCAAAAGGGAGUGACAAAUACACCUAUUCAGUUUGACUCUGAUCACUGAAAUGAAUUACUUAAUUCUGAUUCAUGAGGCCCCAUGGUUCUCAAGGAAAAGAGAAGAAAGAAUAUCACAACAGAGACAAGAAGCCUGAAGAAAGAAAAUUUAGAACUCCAACUGGUAUGUUAGACUAUUAGAGGAAAUAGUAAAUUUUGAAAAAAAGGGAAGAUUGGGAGAGUUCUGAAUUCCUUGAUGACACUAUAUUGAGAACAUAUUAAUAUUUUGCAAUGCAGAAUGUUGGAUCAGAACUUUAAGAAGGAACCAUCAUGGCUGAAUCAAAAACUGUUCAACUACAUGAAGCUCAAGCUUAAAGUAGAAAAUAAUUUAGUUCAUUAGAGAUGAAUAGAGCAGGAUGCUCACAUUUGUGGAGAGAAAAUCAGAAAAACACAAAGCUUUCCAUAGCUACUGAGACAUAAAUGAUAUUAUGGAAAUACUUUUUUUAAUUCUAGAAGGACCAAAACUCUGUUUCUAUCACAAAUGUGUUUUAUUGUUGCAAUAGACAACUUUUUGAUCCCUGUGAAGCAAUGCAUCUUUUUUCCUUUAAGAUUUGGAUGAUCUUGGAUUUCCACCUUUGAGCCAGGCUAGCACUAAAACUGAUGCAUUUUUCUGCUGAAAGAAAAUUCAAAUUAUGCUUCUAGUAGUUGUCUUUUUUUCAGCCUGAAUAGCAAAAUGUUCCCCUUUUAUUUUUACUCCAGAAAAUGCAUGGUGGGAAUAAUCUGAAAAGCUUGAAAUCUCUACCUUAUGCUGUGUAGAAAAAUGUAUUCCUCUAGAAAAAAGAUAUCAAGGCCUGGAUUAAGGAGAUCAAAUUUUAAUGGAGGCAAAAUUAAUUCUUUUUCCAGCACACAGCAGUAGUAUAAUUGACAGAUGAUUAUAUAUCAGCCUUUGCCAAGAAUAUUGCUAAGCACUUUAAGUCUGGCAAACUCUGUGUUACUUUGUGAUUGGUAGAAAAAUCUAUAAUUUUCUCUUGGGGAAAGGCCAAUCUUAUAUCAACUCAAAUGUUACACCAUGCUCUUUCCUUCACAAAAUUCCAGCUGCACACACUGGAUGUGCUCCUAAAAUUAUAGAUUUAAUUUAUUUUUAAUAGAAUUGCAAAUUUAUUUAUGGAAACAAUCUGACCAAAAUUGACUUUCCAACUCUUAACAUUUUUGAAGAUGUCAAGAUGCUUCUCCUCUGGAUUUCAACUCACAAUUGACUUAUUAAAUUAAUGGUAGCAAUUCAUGAUCAAGGAUUAUAGCAAGUCAUUGAGCCACUGGAGCCUUUUCCUCUCACUGAAUCUGAGUCUGAGUAAGUUUCUGCUUGUGCAGCCCAAAUACUUAAUACUCUGAAAAGCUUUUGGUCAUACACUCUUGUGAUUAUUUUGUUUGGUCUAAUGGGAUAUUUGGGAUUAUGAAAUCUUUCUAAAAGGUGUGAAAAACUGUAGAUAGCAAUUGCUUGAACAGUAUUGCACAUUGCCAUGUCAUGUUUGUGAGAUUAUACAUAUACUAUAUAUAUAUAUGCACAAAAGAAACUGCUGAAAUCAACUUUAUGAGAACUUAGUACAUUUAAAUAGUCAGUUUUACAGUGUCAUUCAAAUGAUAAGUUUCCACCCUCCUUUUCAGAAGAAGGCAUUGACCAUCUCAGGCCAUAAGGCACAUACAGUUUAUCAAUGCCUUCCUUCAUCAACAAAAUAAUUUUGGAGCAAUUUGCAUAUAAGAAAGAAUCAAUAUCAAAUCUCACAAAUGUGUUAUUUGAUGCAAAUUUAAAUAAGUACUCAAACUUUACUGAAUACUCAUGCCUUUUCUUUUGUCAUUAAUCUUUUCACAUUUCCCUCUUUGGUGGUUUCAGUUUGAUGAACUGGGCAGAAACACCAAUGAAGUGUAGGGGUCUCAUUAGCUUGGGCAUGGCUUGAGGGGUUUCUAAGAGAUAAACAUUGUUCACCCUCCUGUGUACAGGCAGGUUGAUGGAGCUCUGAUAUUUUUUAUUCAAACCAUAGAAAGAUAUCAUUUAAGCCAAAUAAUAAUUGUGAGUCUUGACCAAUUUGACACUGCAUGCCUAGAGGGAGUUGCAUCAAAUCUGCUAUUGAACAGCUGGGUGCCAUCUUAUCCUCUCAUAUCUGAGCUGAAAAUGCACUGCUGGACCAAUGGGCCAAUUGCUUCUACUUGAAUGAGAAAUUAUAUAACUGAUGCUAACUGCAAGGGUGUUUUGGGGUUGUAGAAACAAGAAGAGAGAACCAUAGGAGUGCACAAUUAAUUACAAAGACAAAUUAACUCACUGAUUAUAGCUUACAUUUCUUGCUAACCUGCCUACAUUAGUUAUUUUUCACUGAUCAAAAUAAUUACAUUGCAGAUAUGCAUAUAUUCAAGCACAAGUCAUUUGCUCUCAAUAAAAAGGGAAAGUAGCUAAGAUAUGUUAAUCCUUUUCUUUAAAGUAAAUGAAACAGUAUACUGUCAGUUGCCAUCUUUAGAACAAAUAAUCCGUGUACUUCAUGCAGAAAAAAUAAUCAAAAAUGCCUGCAUAAUUCUACCUUUAAAAAGUACUUCUGGAAUACUAGUGCAAAAAACUCUUCUGAGAUAAAAUUGGUAAAGCAGUUCAUUUUUAACCAAAGAAUAGCUUUUCCCAAAGUACACCCAUAUUCUGAUUAUGAUCAAAAGGUGUAUUUGACUGCAGAGUCCAGAUCCAUAUGUCAUUAGAAGAACAAGCAUAAGUAACCUUUUCUUUUCUAGAAGUACUGCAAAUGCUUAAUUAGGAUUGAAGUUGUCUCUGGGGUGACUGUACCUUUACUUAUAUCCUAAAUGACAUAUAUCCUAAAUGACAUUUAUUACCAGAACCUCAUGCAUUCAAACACAAGAAAAACUGGGGAGCAGCCUUAGCAGUGAGCACUGCAAAGGAAGCUCAGCAAUGAAUCCUGGCAGUGAAGCUCUAAUCAUUGCUUUCAUGGCAAUUAUGCAGUGUACUGAGCAGGACUUCAACUCAUAGAGAAAGAUGGACAAUGAAUACUGAAUUUUAACCUGCCUUUUAAGACAUUAUAAACUAAUUUAAUUGGGAUCACAUAAUUACUCAAAAGGCAAUCUCAAGUGCAUUAUCAUCCUCCUGUGUCAGCCUUCCAUGCCUUGUUAUCCUGUUAGAGUGUGUCAAAAAAUUGUCACAGGAGACUGAAUCUUACAGAGGAUAAUAACCCUACUGCUGCUUCUUCAAGCCUUAAACCUGAGAUUUGAAAUAAUGAGAGAGCUAUGCUUCUGGGAAGAAACCUUUUUUAUUCUGGGGGGAUUUUUUUUCUUUUUAAGCUAGACCACCCAUCAUAAGGCUUUAAAAACAAUAUUUUGAACAGUGGAAUCUUCAUGGCUUUUGUUCACUGAUUUAUUAUGUAUUAUUUUCAGAAAUAUCCAACAGUCCCUUGCUUGCUGGGCUAUAUAUAUUCCUAAUGAUCCCUUUCCAUCUCUGUAGAAAAGAAAGAACAUGGAAAUUAUAGUUCUUAGGAUGGCAUCUCAUCUGUUUUUUACAGAAAGCUUACAAGUAGAAUAUAUUCUGAUUUUCUUUUCCCUUUCAUUUGAAUCCACAUUGAAGUUUGAGAGCAUCCUGCAGCAAUGUAUGUGUUGGUGUUACUGUUUGUACCAUUUGUUACCAAAGAGAGAAAAAGGCAAAUGAGCAUUACCAACUAAAUUUCUUGCUUACUUGUUAUUCAUGCCCACUCCCAAAAGCUUUGAAUUCUACCAAAAUUAAGGAAUCUGAUGGAACAGCUAAAAUAAAUAAUUUUCAGACAAAGUCUUCCAUCAAACUUGGCUUUUAUGUGUCAGAAAGCAAGAUAAUAAAAUUCUUCUGCCCCUGCCAUCAGUAUCUGGAUUGGGAGCUUAAUGAUGCACAGGGACACUGUCAUUACUACUCUGUCCUCAAAAGUGAAUAUUAAACUGUCUUUCCUGCAUUUAUUUUUACUUGGUAAUCAUUCAUUUUACCAGCAGCAACUGUAGCCCUUCCUGAAUUGCUCCCUCCCCCAUUUUCAGGGCCCAUAGGUAACCAUGUUUAAUCUUCACAAGCAUUUUAAAUUUUAAUAGUACUUCCCAGCUGGAAGUCAUUGUGGAUUCUUAAACUUUACCUGUGAAUUCAUUGCUUUGCAUCCUUUUGCCAGACCGUACAAAGCUCUGUACAUGCAUGGUGUGAGAUUCAGAAAGGAGAAGCAUCCCUUUUCAUUUUGCUAAUUUUCUGGGUGAUGCUUUUAAAAUCAGCUGAAAGAGAGACAAGCUAUUGCUGACAGCAGGCCUGGCUUGAACAAAAGAGAUCAAUCUAUAGCCAGAUCCGUCUGCUGCAAGUGCUCCCAGCAGCAUUCAUAUCUUUUUACUUGAAGUACUUCCAUUUGGAACUGCUAUGCACAGAUUUUCUUCCUCUCCACUUUCAUCAAGCAAUGGUGAUUUGAUGUCAGGUUUUAAGGACAAGAAAAUCAACAUAGAGCAAUUUGAAAAUGACUGAAUUACUCUGUUUCUAAAUUUUUUUCAGACAGAACACCCUAGGUAAUCAGGAACAGUUAUAGACCAGGUUUAAUGUGGGCAUAGCUUUAUGACCCAUAACUGAGAGUGGAUGCACACUAACAAAGCUAGUUCAGCACGAGAGGCCCAGAGAUGAGAAGGGCAUUACUGGCUCACAGUGCUCCAUGUGCAACCCAGCUGAAUCUAUCCUUGCUGCACAGCCAGAGAAAUACCUCGGUAUUUUGUGACCUGAUGUGAUGGUGAAAAUUGGCAGAAUUUAGGGGCAGAAGUGUUGCAGUAUAAAUAACCUGUAAGACAUGAUGGUAUUUCUGGUGUGGUGAGAAGCAAUUAGGACCUUCCUAAUGCAGACGGGCUUAGAGCACUUUGGAAAGGACAAUGGCUUCAUGUUAUUUUGACUUCUUUAGGGAAGGAAAGGAGAGGAAAAUCAGUAGAAAACAUGUGUCUUCCAUGGACACACUACAGAAAUGACCAGAGGAGGCCACUGUAGACAGAGCCUGAUACCAUUGUAUUUCUAUUUAUUUUACACUCCUGAGCAAAUAGGGUUAAUUAAUCCCAUUAUCAAAAAACAAAUUAACAUGUCAGUGAUGUGACCAAUGAAAAUUAACAUAUUUAAAAUUGAAAAAAAGGAAAAAACAAACAACCAAACUAAAACUGGUUGACACCAUUAUUGGUAUUUAUUUUCCGAGCAGUACAAGAAGGAAAUAAUUAUUUAAUACUUUAUAACUUUGGCGAUAUAGUACCAACAUAUGUGACGACAUUUUAAUAAAUAUCAAUUGUAUGACAGUGACACAGGCAAUCUCAUGUAAAGACAGUGACUAUGUAAGCAGCAGUAAAAGUUUGGAGCUCUUAAUACAUAAAUAAGUAUGUAUAACAUCCUUCAGUUUACUAACAACUCCUUCAAUUUGCUGAAAACUGAAAACUACUACUUUUGGAUCAAAUUAACCAUAAAACAAGAUAGCUGUAUAACAAUUAUAAUAUUUUAAUAAAUUCUGUUUACACUUAUUAAAAUAAGAUUUGAAGAAACUGCAAACCAAUCCAAAUUAUACUACUUUAAAAUAUUUAAAAAUAUUUUUACUUUUUAAGCACGUGCAUUUUUUAAUCUAAGCAACUUUACAUUGAAAAAUUAAUUAGGAAAUUAUUUCAUAUUUACAGAAUUUUGGUUCAUAUUUACUCACAAACUCCAACAAUUACCAAAUGAAAUACAUCAACAAAAAAACAAAAUUUAAAUAAAAAGCUGUUGCCUCUCAUCUCAUUCAACAAACACAGACUAAUUAAAAUCUGUAUCACCAUAAGAUAGAGUUCAUUGCAUGUAAUCAACAGAAAAAUGAAUAUAUUUUUCUUUGUUUCUUAGUGCCUUGUUUUCUAUACUGAUUUGUGUUAUGUAUUCAUUAAACAUAUAAUAAACUGGAUUGAUAUAA